rnacentral:rRNA from 1 species
UGUGACCUACGGGACGCAGCAGUGGGGAAUAUUGCACAAUGGGGGAAACCCUGAUGCAGCGACGCCGCGUGAGUGAAGAAGUAUUUCGGUAUGUAAAGCUCUAUCAGCAGGGAAGAAAAUGACGGUACCUGACUAAGAAGCCCCGGCUAACUACGUGCCAGCAGCCGCGGUAAUACGUAGGGGGCAAGCGUUAUCCGGAUUUACUGGGUGUAAGGGGAGCGUAGACGGCAGCGCAAGUCUG